rnacentral:rRNA from 1 species
UACGUAGGUGGCAAGCGUUGUCCGGAAUUAUUGGGCGUAAAGCGCUCGUAGGCGGCCCGGUAAGUCCGCUCUGAAAGUCCAGGGCUCAACCCUGGAAAGCGGGUGGAUACUGCCGGGCUAGAAUCCGGAAGAGGCGAGUGGAAUUCCUGGUGUAGCGGUGGAAUGCGCAGAUAUCAGGAGGAACACCAAUAGCGAAGGCAGCUCGCUGGGACGGUAUUGACGCUAAGGCGCGAAAGCGUGGGGAGCAAACAGG